rnacentral:rRNA from 1 species
CUACGGGGGGCACCAGUGAGGAAUAUUGCACAAUGGGGGGAACCCUGAUGCAGCAACGCCGCGUGGAGGAUGACGCAUUUCGGUGUGUAAACUCCUUUUAUAUGUCAAGAAAAUGACGGUAGCAUAUGAAUAAGCACCGGCUAACUCCGUGCCAGCAGCCGCGGUAACUACGGAGGGUGCAAGCGUUACUCGGAAUCUCUGGGCGUAAAGGACGCGUAGGCGGGUUGGAAAGUCAGGUGUGAAAUCCUACAGCUUAACUGUAGAACUGCACUUGAAACUUCUAAUCUAGAGUAUGGGAGGGGGAGAUGGAAUUAGUGGUGUAGGGGUAAAAUCCGUAGAUAUCACUAGGAAUACCUAAAGCGAAGGCGAUCUCCUGGAACAUUACUGACGCUAAGGCGUGAAAGCGUGGGGAGCAAACAGGAUUAGAUACCCCUGUAGUC